UACAAGGUUUUGCCAGAGCUGACCAACUGU
rnacentral:piRNA from 1 species